UGUCAUUUUAACGUAUUAAUUAUUGGUUGAUUGAACUAAAAAUUUAUGGUUAUUUUGACCAAUUAAAAAAGGUAAUUCCAACCUAUAUUCAAAAGUUAAAAUGACUAAAAUUUAAACUGUCAAAUUGAGCAUAUUUCAACCAAAUAAAUAUAGGUUGUUUUAACUAUAAUACAAAUGGCGGAUAUUCACCAAUAAUAUUUUGGUUGAUUUGGCCAAUUUUUUUAGUUAUAACAACCAGUAAAUAACGGUCAAAGUCGGAGUACGAAACAUCGCGCACUUUCGUUGGUCAAAUGAUGUUGCGUCAACUGAAUAAGAUGCGCUAAAACAAAAUAGCUAAACAAUAAUUCUGCAGGCAAUUAAUCAUCCAAGUACGCUAUAAUCAAACAAUAUUAUGAACUGUAUAUAAAAAUAUAUUUUGUAACAUCUAAAAUUACAGUAAGUACACAGUAGUACGUUUUGUGUUACUAUAGCCUGUGUUCCAGUUGACUACACUGUUACUGACACACAGGCUAGAGAGUUGCAUGGUUUUGUCAAGUAUUAUAUAUUAUCAUGAAAUCAUGGCUAAGCACUUAGUGCUUAGCAUUAAUUAGAUCGCGAUCACCAUGCAACCCCGGCCUGUUUGUGCAUUCUCAAUCUCUCAUUAUUAUAAUAUGUUACAACAAUCGAUCGCCAUAUAAUCUUAGUUCUAGCUUGUGUUCUAUAGUUCACCGAUUGGCAGAGUUUGACCAAUCCUUCCCAGCCGAAUAUGCUCGAGGAACAUUGCCAAGGCCAUUGAGGUAUUCAGCAUUAAGAACAAAAUACCGUAAACCUCCGACUGUAAGCCCUGGGCUUAUAUUUUUCCGUAAGCGAUUUUUGAUGGGCUUAUACAAGGAGGGGCUUAUAUACAGGGGGGGGGGCUUAUACAUGGACGAUCUUUUGUGUUAGUGUAAUAGUGACAAACAAGUAUAGUAAUAGUGAUAAACAAGUGUUAAGCAUACUAGCAUGCAUAGUAAUAAUAGUGAAUAAUAGUGGUAAGUGGUAAUAGUGAUAAACAAUAAAUGGUGAUAACUGAUAAACAAGUGGGCUUAUAUUCGGGGGGGGGCUUAUAUUUGGAAUGAGGUGAGCGUUACUACAUGUGGUGGGCUUAUACACGGGGGGGGCUUAUAUUCGGGAGGGGCUUAUAUUCGGGGGAGGCUUAUAUUCGGAGGUUUACGGUACGCUGCUAAUACGCAU